rnacentral:lncRNA from 14 species
CUAAUUCAGACCACGUGCCGGGCCAGGUUCAUGAGGAUAACUGUUCCCUUUCCUGGAUGGAACAUGACUUGGCUGGAAUCUGGGUAGCUCCAAGGAAAACCUCAUUGCCUGUUCUCGAGGCAUCCCAGGAUGCAGGCGGUGCCAAAGAACAACCUCAAUGCAGAGGGGGGAUGCAGAGAGGCUUCCAUGUGGGAUGUCACCUGGAGCUCCUGUUGGACACCCACCACCAGGGCUGGCGCUUCCAUGCAGGGGAUGCUGCGCAGGGACCCCCCCGGCUGCCACCUGCCCUAAAACUCAUAGGCAGACACGAAGAUGGUGAUCCUGGACACGUGCUUGGCCUGGAAGACACGAUCCAGGUACUCGGUCAUGUCCACAUCCACCUGGAUGGUCUGGGGGCCCUGCAGGCUCUGCACCAGGAUGAGCUCCCCGGUGUGCCGGUCCGAGCGCUGCAUCACGAAGCGCCCGCGGUUGUUGCCACCGGCGAUGCCGAAGCGGAGGCUGUCGGGGCCGGGCCGGCCGGGGGCUGCUGCCGUGGCCAUGCGGAACAGUGGGGUGGGGGUCAGCACCCCGGAUGGCAGCGGAAGGUAAUGGAAGGAGAUGGUUUUGGGGGCUUGGUGGCAUGAGCGGCUCUCCAUCGGGCAGGGGUUGCGCUCGCACUGGCUGCAAAGGGAAAGACAUGGGGAGAGUUUAUGGGGGCAGCAGGGAUGCUGGGCCCAUGUCCCACACCUCAGGGGUGUUGUAUCUGUGGGGAUGCUACAUGUGGGUUUAGAACCCAGCAUCCCAGCUCUGGGGCAGCAGCACAAGAGGGACGUGGAGCUGAUGGAGCGAGGGCAGAGGAGGCCAUGGAGCUGCUGCGAGGGCUGGAGCAGCUCUGCUCUGGAGCCAGGCUGAGAGAGCUGGGCUGGGGCAGCCUGGACAAGAGAAGGCUCCUGAAGGGGAGAGCUGAGAGCAGCUCCAGUGCCUAAAGGGGCUGCAGGAAAGCUGGAGAGGGGCUUGGGGACAAGGGAUGUAGGGACAGGGCCAAGGGGAAUGGCUUGAACCUGCCAGAACAGGGGAGACUGAGCUGAGCUCUGAGGCAGAAGCUGUUCCCUGGGAGGGUGCUGAGGAGCUGGCACAGGGUGCCCAGAGAAGCUGUGGCUGCCCCAUCCCUGGCAGUGCUCAAGGCCAGGUUGGACACAGGGGCUUGGAGCAGCUGCUCCAGUGGAAGGGGUCCCUGCCCGUGGCAGGGGUUGGAGCUGGAUGGGCUUUAAGCUCCCUUCAACCCAACCCAGGCUGGGUUCUAUGAAAGCAGGACCAGGCUUUGCACCCCACUGCACUUACAAGGGUGAUGUCUUGACAUAGGUGACGUUGCCGGCGGGUGGGGGGCACUGGGGGCUCACACACUGGAAGCCCCCCCCAGUGUUGAUGCAGGUUGUUCCCCUGGUGCAGUUGUCCUGGGACAGAGCACACUCAUCGAUGUCUGUAAAACAGGGGUGGGCACCAGGUCAGGCUCACCAGAGACCUGGAACCCCCCUCAUGGUGUAGGCAAAGACACCUUGAAAUGGGUCAGACAUCAAAUGGGAUCAAAGGGAGGUGGCUGAAAACACCUGAAUCCCCC